UAGCCGUAAACGAUGCGGACUGGGUGUUGGGAUGGCUUUGAGCUGUUCCGGUGCCGAAGGGAAGCUGUUAAGUCCGCCGCCUGGGAAGUACGGUCGCAAGACUGAAACUUAAAGGAACUGGCGGGGGAGCACCACAACGCGUGGAGCCUGCGGUUUAAUUGGAUUCAACGCCGGAGAUCUCACCAGGGGCGACAGCAGUAUGAUGGCCAGGUUGAUGGCCUUGCUAGAUUUUCAGAGAGGAGGUGCAUGGCGUCAGUGACU
rnacentral:rRNA from 1 species